rnacentral:rRNA from 1 species
UACGGAGGGGCUAGCGUUGCUCGGAAUCACUGGGCGUAAAGGGUGCGUAGGCGGGUCUUUAAGUCAGGGGUGAAAUCCUGGAGCUCAACUCCAGAACUGCCUUUGAUACUGAGGAUCUUGAGUUCGGGAGAGGUGAGUGGAACUGCGAGUGUAGAGGUGAAAUUCGUAGAUAUUCGCAAGAACACCAGUGGCGAAGGCGGCUCACUGGCCCGAUACUGACGCUGAGGCACGAAAGCGUGGGGAGCAAACAGGG